GACGAACGCUGGCGGCGUGCUUAACACAUGCAAGUCGAACGGAAAGGCCCUGCUUUUGUGGGGUGCUCGAGUGGCGAACGGGUGAGUAACACGUGAGUAACCUGCCCUUGACUUUGGGAUAACUUCAGGAAACUGGGGCUAAUACCGGAUAGGAGCUCCUGCUGCAUGGUGGGGGUUGGAAAGUUUCGGCGGUUGGGGAUGGACUCGCGGCUUAUCAGCUUGUUGGUGGGGUAGUGGCUUACCAAGGCUUUGACGGGUAGCCGGCCUGAGAGGGUGACCGGCCACAUUGGGAUUGAGAUACGGCCCAGACUCCUACGGGAGGCAGCAGUGGGGAAGAUUGCACAAUGGGCGGAAGCCUGAUGCAGCAACGCCGCGUGCGGGAUGACGGCCUUCGGGUUGUAAACCGCUUUCGCCUGUGACGAAGCGUGAGUGACGGUAAUGGGUAAAGAAGCACCGGCUAACUACGUG
rnacentral:rRNA from 1 species